GUGGGGGUGGGGGUGCUGUUCUCUACAGCAGAAAUGAGCAAAAGUCAAUUUAUCAAGGCACAUAACAGUACAGAGCAGGGAUUUCAAAGCAUGCCGUUGCUUUGUCAAACACACUGGCUACCCUCUAGAAAGCCGAGGAUCCCCUACUUCACGGGGCGCUACCCCAACACCCAGCCCAUAUCCUUCUCUAGUGUGUAUGGAGGAGGGGCUGGAGGAGAGCGGAUGGCCCAGGGUAGCCGCAACCAACCUCAGUCCUUUUUGUGGAGAAUUUGUCAUCUUGGACACCUGCCUGGACUAUCAAGAUCUUGGACUACUGCUGCAGGGCAGAGCGCACACCCGGCGAGGCCCAGAGUUCCUCUGUGGGACCGACACACUCCUGAAAGCGCAGAUGCCCCCUCAGUGCCAACUCAAGGCAUAGGAGUGGCGGCAGCAGCCCACUGCUCUCAGGGGAGUUUGCCUAAACACUGUCCCCUGCCAUUUCUCUGCUGGAGGAACUGUGCUGUGAGGCUCUGGCCGCCAUCAGUUCAAUGACUCAAGUUUAAAAA